rnacentral:lncRNA from 1 species
GCAUUCUACUGUUUCUCUCCUUGCAGGGGCCCUUGAAUCUUUCUUCAAUCUACUCUCGCGUCUUUCGUGAUCUCAUCCAGUCUCCUGGUGCUAGGUACCAUGUCGACACCAAUGUAGACACUAGAUUGGAUGAGUCAUUGUUCACAAUUCCUCACAAAACUCCUGCAAAGUCCAAAAGAACUGGGGUUUGAAUGUUAGAGGCUGGUGAAGAAGUGAGGACCACGGGGCGUCAUAACACCGCGCAGUGGAGGCCACGCUGCACUGGCCGGUGUCCGCCGACAGGGUGUGUGCCACAGACGCGCAGUGCCUUGCCCGAAUCUGUCCCUCCCCUCAGCGCUGGUCCAGGCUGGCCACAGGCACCACCCCGUCCCUGAAAGUGGAUCUUUUCCUCUGAAAAAACAGGAAUGAGAACUGCCCGGAAGCCUGGAACAUUCCAGGUUCUGAUGACUCAGCGGCUGAAGGCAGGAUUUGUGUCACCGAAAGCAGCCAGAGUGGCGGUCUGUAAAUGUAGCUUAGAAAAGUGGAGAAAGUCUCUUACUGCAGGCGUUCAUGAUAGAUGGAAACUCCGUGUGGUUUCCAAGGCCCUCCUCGAUUUGAAGCAUUUCAAGGGAGCGGUUGAUGCCUUAGCAGUCUACUGUUUGAAUUAGGGAAAUGCAAAGAGUCAGCCAUUGGGGAUAGCCGGCGGAGAGGAGCUGUGGCUCUGGUGUCCUCAGUGGCUUAAGCUACACAUAAGUUGUGUUUACUAGCAGAAACUGUGUUAAUGGAAGUCUGGGGACAAAUUGUGGAAGUUUCGAACAGUUCAACUAGCAGAGGACACUUUGAAGCCCACUUAAAAGCUAAGAUCACUCCUCACACCCCCAACUGCCGCAGGGACUUAGAAGGUCCUCCUUCUCCCUCUCAGGCUAAGGUUCAUCUGUGACAUUCAUCCUCAACAGAGGAGGGGCGAGAAUAGACUGGAAAUAGAAAUUGUUCUGCCUCGCACUCAUUACCACGAAGAAGCUCCCCAACAGGGAAUGAACGCAACCCAACAUAAUUAAAAGUGAAUAUGGGCCGGGCGCGGUGGCUCACGCCUGUAAUCCCAACACUUUGGGAGGCUGAGGAGAGUGGCUCACAUCUGAGGUCAGGAGUUCGAGGCCAGCCUGGCCAAUGUGGAGAAACCCCCGUCUCUAUUAAAAAUGCAAAAAUUAGCCGGGCGUGGUGGCGCACGCCUGUAAUCUCAGCUACUUGGGAGGCCGAGGCAGGGAGAAUCGCUUGAACCGGGGAAGUGGAGGUUGUAGUGAGCUGAGAUCAUGCCACUGUACUCCAGCCUGG